CAACACGUCACAUUUCGAGAAACAGGAAAUACAUCACGCAAAUGGUCGAACUGUAAUCAAUAGCGAGAAAAAAAAACGGAAAAAUUGAACGACUAAUCAACAAACCUUACGAUGUAGUGGUGAAAUAUGAGAACACAUUUUUUCUAAAACUGUAACCAUUUGGAUUUUAAUUUUUCACAACGAAAUUAUUACAUCUGCGUGUUCGCGAAUCAAUGCUAGUAUACAAUUUUAAAAUUUGACAAAUUCUAAUUCAACUUGCACAAUUUGAAACGUUUUCGACGAGUGAAAAAAAUUGGAUUGUUUUUCGCGAGUAUAAUAAUUUUAUAAGCGAAAAUUGAUCCUACUUGGAUUUUUGAAAUACGUAUAACCACCAGUACAAAGGAAAAAGCAUGGAAUUAAACUUGCUGAUCAUAUGUAACUGCCCAAUCAACGUAUUCUCGACAAUUUGCAUAAUCGUUCAUCUGCUCAAGUUUUUCCGUACUUCAACGCCACAAAAUCUAUCAACGAAGAACCUCACUUUCUACUCCUUUUUCUUAUUGUUGAUCUACGUGUUCACAUGUAUAAUUGCGAUAGCAGUACUAUGGAGCCCAUAUUUUCCACACAAUCAGACGUUUAACAAGACAUUAUUCUAUAUUAUUAUACACCUGAUGAUAACGGCGACGUUCAUCAAAGUCGUAAUUGCUGCAGAUUUAUUACACUACUUUUACAAAAUUGACACCAAUUUGCAAAACAACUCCUCUACGACUCCUCAAAAUACAGAAUUCAUCUUGAAUUGUCUCCUCGGUACGAUUAUUCCCUUAGUUUAUUCGUUUAUUUGGUUCGUACGUGAGGGUAAUGAACCUACAGAAGAAGAGCCGGAGUACUUGGGACCAUUAAUGAUUAUGAAAGCUCUUCACAUUGUGGCGUUCCUUUUGAUUAUUGGUGCAGUUUUGUGCGCUCGAUCGAAUACCGUAAAUCCGAAAGAUCUGUUGUCAAAACAUGGUCUACAUAUGCGUAUGCUUAUGAUAUUCGGUGGAUUUUUCCUUGUAGUAGGCAUCGAAGAAGGUAUUUUAACGAUGUUAAACGCAAAUACUAAUACGUACUUGUAUUUUGCAACUUAUUACAGCGCAUAUAAUCUAGAAGGAGUGCUUAUUAGUGUAUUGUGUACGUUAAGAAAAGAUACUUCUGAAUCGACUAAACUAUUAGAUGUGUUCUUUUAACGCGAAUUUUGGCAGAUUUAUACAAUCCACAAGAAUCUGGUCGGGUAGCAGCUUUUGGAUUUUGCUUCGAAAAAGGAAGGCUCGAGGUUUUGAAAAAUUGGUGAAUGUAAUCUCAAAAGUGUUGAAAAAAAAGAGAUUUUAUAAACAUUCAAAAUCCAGAUUCUGGAAAAUCUGCCAAAAUCCGUGUAAAAAGAACACAUCUAUUGAUACCGCGAUAGGACAUCACAUCGGAUGAAUUAUACCGAGUGUCCAUUCUAAUAAUACUUAAAAACAGAAAAUUCAAUUUCAAUUUUUUCGAAAAAAAAUUUUCACUUUAAUGCGUUGACGACAGUGGUGAAAAAAAACAAGGCCGUGGAAAUUCCAAAGUCAAACAACAACGCAAAACUUUGUGUAAAAAAAAAAAAAAAAAUCGAGUUUUUUAUUCAGUAAGUUACUUAGUUUAGGUUAGAAUACUAAUACCUUAUCAUUAAUUGAAUAAUUAUUAUUCAUGAUAGAUAAGCAUACUUAUGUUAAGUAAUGAUAAUGGGCAUCAAUUGAAUGAUGACUAGGUAGGGUAGGUAUGUGUAAGUGAGUAGGCAUUUUAUUUUACCGUAAUGUUCAAGAUUGUAAUUUCAAUUUGACGUGUUUUUUUGUUCUGUUAAGUAUUGAAUAAAAUCACCUUCUAAAAAAUUUUAAAA